CAGUCGCCGCGGGAAUACGGAGGGGGCUAGCGUUGCUCGGAUUUACUGGGCGUAAAGGGCGCGUAGGCGGACAGUUUAGUCAGUGGUGAAAGCCCGGGGCUCAACCUCGGAAUUGCCUUUGAUACUGGCUGUCUUGAGUACGGGAGAGGUGUGUGGAACUCCGAGUGUAGAGGUGAAAUUCGUAGAUAUUCGGAAGAACACCAGUGGCGAAGGCGACACACUGGCCCGUUACUGACGCUGAGGAGCGAAAGCGUGGGGAGCGAACAGGAUUAGAUACCCCCGUAGUCCCUGUCUCUUAUAC
rnacentral:rRNA from 1 species